GACCUCUCCGGUGGCCUAGUGGUUAGAGCGUCCGCUUCAGAUGCGGGGGUUGUGAGUUCAAUCCUUGGCCGAGUCA